AAUCUUCCGCAAUGGACGAAAUUCUGACGGAGCAACGCCGCGUGAGAGAUGAAUGUUUUCGGAUCGUAAAACUCUGUUGUCAGGGAAGAACAAGUAUCGGAGUAACUGCCGGUACCUUUACGGUACCUGACUAGAAGUCCACUGCUAACUACGUGCUAUCAGACGCGGUAAUACGUAGGUGGCAAGCGUUGUCCGGAAUUAUUGGUCGUAAAGCGCGCGCAGGCGGUCUUUUAAGUCUGAUGUGAAAGCCCCCGGCUCAACCGGGGAGGGUCAUUGGAAACUGGGAGACUUGAGUGCAGAAGAGAAGAGUGGAAUUCCACGUGUAGCGGUGAAAUGCGUAGAGAUGUGGAGGAACACCAGUGGCGAAGGCGACUCUUUGGUCUGUAACUGACGCUGAGGCGCGAAAGCGUGGGGAGCGAAC
rnacentral:rRNA from 1 species